GAUGAACGCUGGCGGCGUGCCUAAUACAUGCCAGUCGAGCGAACAGACGAGGAGCUUGCUCCUCUGACGUUAGCGGCGGACGGGUGAGUAACACGUGGAUAACCUACCUAUAAGACUGGGAUAACUUCGGGAAACCGGAGCUAAUACCGGAUAAUAUAUUGAACCGCAUGGUUCAAUAGUGAAAGACGGUUUUGCUGUCACUUAUAGAUGGAUCCGCGCCGCAUUAGCUAGUUGGUAAGGUAACGGCUUACCAAGGCGACGAUGCGUAGCCGACCUGAGAGGGUGAUCGGCCACACUGGAACUGAGACACGGUCCAAACUCCUACGGGAGGCAGCAGUAGGGAAUCUUCCGCAAUGGGCGAAAGCCUGACGGAGCAACGCCGCGUGAGUGAUGAAGGUCUUCGGAUCGUAAAACUCUGUUAUUAGGGAAGAACAAAUGUGUAAGUAACUAUGCACGUCUUGACGGUACCUAAUCAGAAAGCCACGGCUAACUACGUG
rnacentral:rRNA from 1 species